GAGAGAUUUUAAUUCAAAUAAAUCACCGACUCAGAGCAAAAAUUCUCUUCUAUGCGUUGAGACGCAACACAACGGUCAUGAAGGGAUUGAACGGAGACGGAGACGGACGGCGGAGGGAGACGGACGGCGGAGGAAUCGUGAAGGGAUUGAACCCUAUCUUGUUCGGACAGACGGAGGAGGAUGGAGUCGAAGAUAGAUCGACGGAGACGGACGGCGGAGGGAGACGCACGGCGGAGGAAUCGUGAAGGGAUUGAACCCUAAGUUGUUCGGAGGAAAGAUCAUCUUUGAUCUUUCUUAUUCUGUGACUCUCUUUUGUUACUGUAUCUGAUUAUGAACCCUAACAUGUUGGUAAGUUUAGGUACAUCAUCUUUGAUCUUUCUUAUUCUGAAUUUGAACCUUUCUUUGUGAUUC